UGAAAAGUUACAUUUGGGGUUGCGUUUC
rnacentral:sRNA from 1 species